rnacentral:rRNA from 1 species
UACGUAGGUGGCAAGCGUUGUCCGGAUUUAUUGGGUUUAAAGGGUGCGUAGGCGGUUUUUAAGUCAGUGCUGAAAUACUCCAGCUUAACUGGAGGGGUGGCAUUGAUACUGGAAGACUUGAGUACAGAUGAGGUAGGCGGAAUUGACGGUGUAGCGGUGAAAUGCAUAGAUAUCGUCAAGAACACCAAUUGCGAAGGCAGCUUACUAAAGUAUAACUGACGCUGAGGCAACGGAAGUGCGGGGAUCAAACAGG